UACGUAGGGUGCAAGCGUUGUCCGGAAUUAUUGGGCGUAAAGAGCUCGUAGGCGGUUCGUCGCGUCGGCUGUGAAAACCCGGAGCUCAACUCCGGGUCUGCAUUCGAUACGGGCAGGCUAGAGUGUGGUAGGGGAGAUCGGAAUUCCUGGUGUAGUGGUGAAAUGCGCAGAUAUCAGGAGGAACACCGGUGGCGAAGGCGGAUCUCUGGGCCAUUACUGACGCUGAGGAGCGAAAGCGUGGGGAGCGAACAGG
rnacentral:rRNA from 1 species